UGGAUAUUUUUUUACAUGGUUAUCAGUGUUGAAAGAGCUAAACGAACGCCUAACAAUUUUGUCCCACCUAUUAACUCUGCCACACGCAUACAAACAAGCACAUACACCCAAAGAAACGUGUGCACAUAAUUUCCACCAAAUACCUAUUACAGAGAGUUUCUGUAUCAAUAAGCAGAGUCUUUUGUAGUAGUUGAGUGAGUAGAAAUUAGAAAGCUACUCUUGUCUCUAUCGUGGCAGCAACAUACCCUAAUACUCACUGCGAUGAACAUUUCCUGCAGUAAAAUUAUAUAAUGAGUUUCAUAAUCAGAUAACAUCUUAGGUACAUAAACCAUAAAGGGUUGUGUUAUUAUAUGAGCCAGAUGUUUAGCCCACCAUAUUGAGCAAAUUUAAGGAAGAAAAAUAAAAACUGUGACUAGCUCAAGGAUAUGACUGUUUUUGAUUUGUCUUCUGGGGCUGCUUUUCAUUGUGUUGUCCAUUAUGACAAGGUUCAAGGAUAAGAGGGAAAAAUCGAAAACAAACAAAGGAAGGAGUAAUGUAGAAUGGUCUAAUUUAUAUGUGUAACUUACUUGUUAUACACGUAAAAUACUUUUGAGAAGGAGAAUUGUAUACUGUGAAUGAGAGAUUUAAGCAUGUUGGUGACAGUUAAUGUGUGAUUCAUUUUGGUUUUGAGGGCAUGGUGUAAUAAAACUGAAGUCCAACAAAGGUGGAGAGUGAAGAGGACAUGUUGAUUCAAACAUAUAUACAUAGGUUUGUAUGUUUUUCUAACUAUGUACAGGGGAAAGCACUUUCCACAUUCCUAGACAAGUUAGGCAAACCACAAAAGAUUUUGUGUGGAAAAUGCAGAAGCUGGUUCUUUUUGGAAGGAAAUUAAUGGUGGGGAAUAAUUUUUAUUUAUUGUUUUGGAAAUUGUUGAUUGAAGUAAAAAGCGGGGAAAUCACAAUCUGAAUGUGUCUUGAAAAGGGUAUUUUUCAAAGAGGAAGAGUUUUGAUUCAUACAAUGAGCCAAAUCCACAACACCUAACCAAGAAGUGGGAAACCACAAGCAGCCACGUAGGUUAACGAAAUUCAACUGUGACAUCACUUUUCCAUGCCAUGACAUGCUUCCAGCUUCUCCUUUUCUUUAUAAAAAGGAUUUGGAUUCAGCUUCCAUUAACAAACCCCACCAAGCCACAAACACACCCUCUUCUUCUUUCUUUCUUUCUUUCUGUCCCUCAAACACAACACAACCAGAGAACAGACACACACAAAGGAACAAACAAGGUUAGAAACUGAGAUGGAGAGCAGUGACACAUACACCCCUACUUCCUCUGCUCCACUUUCUCACUCCCCCACUUCCUCUUCUUCUUCACCACCACCUCCUCCACCUCCCACUGUUGUCAUGAGCCCUUGUGCUGCAUGCAAGAUUUUGAGGAGAAGAUGUGCUGAGAAAUGUGUUCUGGCACCGUAUUUCCCUCCCACUGAACCUGCAAAGUUUACCAUUGCUCACCGUGUGUUUGGUGCCAGCAACAUCAUCAAGUUCCUACAGGUUCUGCUCACAUCACCCUUUAAAAUCAUACUUGUUUGAUUCCCUGUCUUCAAUCUAAACCAAAUCAAAAACGUUUUUCAACAUGUUUCUGCUAUCCGAAGUCUGUGUGUAAGAUAUCGUGGUACAUGUUAAUUAAUUCCUUCAUAUGCAUUAUUAAUUUUCACAAAAUUAAGCAUUCAUCUUUCAGAUCACGGAGUUCCAACAAGAUUUUAGGAAACUCUCCAUUUUUGUACUCUAUCACCCGACAAAGCAUCCUCUGCACACACACACACACAAUAUACACAGUAUUCACUUCUAGCCUCUGAAAAUAAUCUCUCCUUCAUAAAAAGAAAAAAAAAAAAAAAAAACUGUCUUUUCUCUUUCUUUUUAUUUGUGAAAAGUGAUGACAGAUAACAUAUUUUUACACAUGAUGAGUAAACAGUUUUCUUCAUAGAUUCAAAACAAAAAUUACUUUAUAAGAAGUAACAUACUUGAUUUUUGUAAAAAGUAUUCCCUACUUUAGCAGUGAAACUUGAAAAGUAAAAGGAACUAAAGACUAAUUAUGCCAAGCUUCUGACUUUAAUUGUUUUUUCUAAGGUCAAUGAGGCCCUUUACCCGAUUAGAUGAAAUGGAGCAUAGUGUUCCAAUACGAUAACAAAUGCGUUAUCAACCACCUACUUUUAACAAACACCUGGUGGGGUCUCCAAGUGGUGAUAUUCAUUUAACAAUCUUCUGUAUUCCAAGUCUCGGUCUUUGAUAAGUCUUUAAAAAUGAAAUCUGAGAUCUAGAAGCAAUCAACAGAUACCUAAUUUUGGAACCAAUAAAUGCUUUUGUCAAGCUUUUCCAUUUCAUCAUCUAAACAUGUUGUUGCACAUACCUUUCAGGAACUUCCAGAGUCUCAGAGGGCUGAUGCAGUGACCAGCAUGGUUUACGAGGCCAGUGCAAGAAUAAGAGACCCUGUUUAUGGCUGUGCAGGAGCAAUCUGCCAGCUCCA
rnacentral:lncRNA from 1 species